rnacentral:rRNA from 1 species
AGUGAACGCUGGCGGUAGGCCUAACACAUGCAAGUCGAACGGCAGCACAGUAAGAGCUUGCUCUUACGGGUGGCGAGUGGCGGACGGGUGAGGAAUACAUCGGAAUCUACUUUUUCGUUGGGUAUAACGUAGGUAAACUUACGCUAAUACCGCAUACGACCUACGGGUGAAAGCAGUGGAUCUUCGGACCUUGCGCGAUUGAAUGAGCCGAUGUCGGUUUAGCUAGUCGGCGGGGUAACGGCCCACCAAGGCGACGAUCCGUAGCCGGUCUGAGAGGAUGAUCAGCCACACUGGAACUGGGACACGGUCCAGACUCCUACGGGAGGCAGCAGUGGGGAAUAUUGGACAAUGGGCGCAAGCCUGAUCCAGCCAUACCGCGUGGGUGAAGAAGGCCUUCGGGUUGUAAAGCCCUUUUGUUGGGAAAGAAAAGCAGCGGGUUAAUACCCCGCUGUUCUGACGGUACCCAAAGAAUGAGCACCGGCUAACUUCGUG